ACUCAAAGGAAUAGACGGGGACCCGCACAAGCAGCGGAGCGUGUGGUUUAAUUCGAAGCAACGCGAAGAACCUUACCAGGACUGGACAUGCAAGGGCACCACCCGUUAUGGGGUGUCCCGUUCGCGGGCCCUUGCACAGGUGCUGCAUGGCUGUCGUCAGCUCGUGUCGUGAGAUGUUAGGUUAAGUCCUGCAACGAGCGCAACCCUCACGGCCGGUUGGAUAUGUCCGGCAGAACUGCCACGUGAACGUGGAGGAAGGUGGGGAUGACGUCAAGUCAGCACGGCCCUGACGUACUGGGCGACACACACGCUACAAUGGUCGGGACAACGGGUCGCCAACCCGCAAGGGGGAGCCAAUCCCAGCAAACCCGAUCUCAGUUCGGAUUGCAGGCUGCAACCCGCCUGCAUGAAGUCGGAGUUGCUAGUAACCGUGGGUCAGCACACCACGGUGAAUACGUUCCCGGGUCUUGUACACACCGCCCGU
rnacentral:rRNA from 1 species